GACGGGUAUCCGGCCUGAGAGGGUGAACGGACACACUGGAACUGAGACACGGUCCAGACUCCUACGGGAGGCAGCAGUAGGGAAUAUUGCUCAAUGGGGGAAACCCUGAAGCAGCAACGCCGCGUGGAGGAUGAAGGUUUUAGGAUUGUAAACUCCUUUUGUUAGAGAAGAUUAUGACGGUAUCUAACGAAUAAGCACCGGCUAACUCCGUGCCAGCAGCCGCGGUAAUACGGAGGGUGCAAGCGUUACUCGGAAUCACUGGGUGUAAAGAGUGCGCAGGCGGGAUAGCAAGUCAGAUGUGAAAUGCUAUGGCUUAACCAUAGAACUGCAUUUGAAACUGUUAUUCUA
rnacentral:rRNA from 1 species